ACACGCGUGGUGAAACGGUAUCAUGCUUGCCUUCCAAGCAAGCGGUCGGGGUUCGACUCCCCGCGCGUGUA
rnacentral:tRNA from 1 species